UAUAUUAAAUUGAAGAUAAAAGAUGAUUUUACAUAAGGAUGAUAUCAUUUGAAGUAUUAUUAAAUAUUACAAAUGUUUGUGUUUCAUCAUAAUUAAAAAAGGUUCCAUCAUCCUGUCUUCCGAAGGAGUAUGAUAUUAACGGAUGUUGUGAAGACAUCACCAAUUGGAGUAUUCAAGUAAAAAGGGUUCCCAAACUGUGCUACAGGGUCGCCGCAAACCGAAAAACUUUUAAAGUAUUUCAAUUAAAGAAUGGAAAAAAACUGCAAAUCACACGGACAAUAUACAUGUAAUUGCCUCGUAACAUUCGGCACAAUAGAGAUUUUACUACCGAUAAUUAAAGCACAUGUAUUAAGCCAAGAUUCGAAUUCGUUUUACCAUCACUAUUAUCCGAGUUUAACAAGUAAACAAACAGCAAGAGUAAACCGAAGUAAUGAAAGCUUUAACAGUGGUGUUGAUUAUUGCGAUGGUCAUGCUGGCUAUUUGCAACACUAUUAAUGGGCAGGUACUUGAAACACACCAUGUCCCAGAAAUAGAUCCCAGGACUGUGAUAAAGA